rnacentral:rRNA from 1 species
GGUCGAGUGACUCUGCGCCGAAAAUUUAACGGGGCUAAAUCGUACACCGAAGCUUGGGAUGUUAGAUGUUAGACAGUAGACAUUAGACAAUAGAUGAGAGAUAGAAGCGUAUGAAAUAUAUCAGGCGCAUAAGAUCCAAUAUCUAAAAUCUAAUAUCUAGCGUCUAACAUCUAACAUGGUAGGAGAGCGUUGAAUGCGGGGUGAAGUCAGAGCGAAAGCGCUGGUGGACUGCAUUGAAGUGAGAAUGCCGGAAUGAGUAGCGAGAUUUAUGUGAGAAUCAUAAAGGCCGAAAGACUAAGGUUUCAGAAGGAAGGUUCGUCCGCUUCUGGUUAGCCGGGAGCUAAGGUGAGGCCGAAAGGCGUAGCCGAUGCACAUACGGUGGAGAUUCCGUAGCCGUCAAAAUAUUUAAGCAAAGGGACACUUAUGAAGGGCAUGACCCGGGCGAUGGUAGCCCCGGGCGUAAGGGACCGAAAAUAAGUAGGGAAGCAUGUUUGGAAUAAGGCGAGAAAAGCUUUGUGGAUAUAUGAGACGUCCGUACCGCAAACCGACACAGGUAGUCAGGAAGAGGAUUCUAAGGCCAACGGGAGAAGGGUAGUUAAGGAACUCGGCAAAUUGACCCCGUAACUUCGGAAUAAGGGGCGGUGCGUAAGCACCCGCAGUGAAUAGGUCCAGGCGACUGUUUAUCAAAAACACAGCUCUCUGCUAAAUCGAAAGAUGACGUAUAGGGGGUGACACCUGCCCGGUGCUGGAAGGUUAAGAGGAGGAGUGCAAGCUCCGAAUUGAAGCCCCAGUAAACGGCGGCCGUAACUAUAACGGUCCUAAGGUAGCGAAAUUCCUUGUCGGGUAAGUUCCGACCCGCACGAAUGGUGUAACGAUCUGGACGCUGUCUCAACUGCCCACCCGGCGAAAUUGUAGUACCGGUGAAGAUGCCGGUUACCCGCGGCAAGACGGAAAGACCCCAUGGAGCUUUACUGUAACUUGAUAUUGGGUCUUGGUAUUCUAUGUACAGGAUAGGCGGGAGACUAUGAAACAUACACGCCAGUGUAUGCGGAGUCACCCUUGGGAUACCGCUCUUAGAGUACUGAGAUUCUAACCUGCGGCCGUGAAUCCGGUCGGGGGACAUUGUCAGGUGGGCAGUUUGACUGGGGC